CCUACGGGUGGCAGCAGUGGGGAAUAUUGCACAAUGGGCGCAAGCCUGAUGCAGCCAUGCCGCGUGUGUGAAGAAGGCCUUCGGGUUGUAGAGCACUUUCAGCGGGGAGGAAGGCGGUGAGGUUAAUAACCUCAUCGAUUGACGUUACCCGCAGAAGAAGCACCGGCUAACUCCGUGCCAGCAGCCGCGGUAAUACGGAGGGUGCAAGCGUUAAUCGGAAUUACUGGGCGUAAAGCGCACGCAGGCGGUCUGUCAAGUCGGAUGUGAAAUCCCCGGGCUCAACCUGGGAACUGCAUUCGAAACUGGCAGGCUAGAGUCUUGUAGAGGGGGGUAGAAUUCCAGGUGUAGCGGUGAAAUGCGUAGAGAUCCGGAGGAAUACCGGUGGCGAAGGCGGCCCCCUGGACAAAGACUGACGCUCAGGUGCGAAAGCGUGGGGAGCAAACAGGAUUAGAUACCCGUGUAGUC
rnacentral:rRNA from 1 species